CCUACGGGUGGCAGCAGUGGGGAAUAUUGGACAAUGGGCGAAAGCCUGAUCCAGCCAUGCCGCGUGUGUGAAGAAGGCCUUCGGGUUGUAAAGCACUUUCAGUGGGGAAGAAAGCCUUGGGGCUAAUACCCUCGAGGAAGGACAUCACCCACAGAAGAAGCACCGGCUAACUCCGUGCCAGCAGCCGCGGUAAUACGGAGGGUGCGAGCGUUAAUCGGAAUUACUGGGCGUAAAGCGCGCGUAGGCGGUCUGAUAAGCCGGUUGUGAAAGCCCCGGGCUCAACCUGGGAACGGCAUCCGGAACUGUCAGGCUAGAGUGCAGGAGAGGAAGGUAGAAUUCCCGGUGUAGCGGUGAAAUGCGUAGAGAUCGGGAGGAAUACCAGUGGCGAAGGCGGCCUUAUGGACUGACACUGACGCUGAGGUGCGAAAGCGUGGGUAGCAAACAGGAUUAGAUACCCUUGUAGUC
rnacentral:rRNA from 1 species